rnacentral:rRNA from 1 species
CACAUGCAAGUCGGGGGGCAGCAUAGGGUUUUAGCAAUAGAAUUCGGAUGGCGACCGGCGCACGGGUGAGUAACACGUAUCCGACCUGCCUUAUACUCGGGGAUAGCCUUGCGAAAGUAAGAUUAAUACCCGAUGGCAUCACGUUCCUGCAUGGGGUCGUGAUUAAAGGUGUGAACCGGUAUAAGAUGGGGAUGCGUUCCAUUAGGUAGUAGGCGGGGUAACGGCCCACCUAGCCAUCGAUGGAUAGGGGUUCUGAGAGGAAGGUCCCCCACAUUGGAACUGAGACACGGUCCAAACUCCUACGGGAGGCAGCAGUGAGGAAUAUUGGUCAAUGGGCGCGAGCCUGAACCAGCCAAGUAGCGUGAAGGACGGCGGCCCUAUGGGUUGUAAACUUCUUUUAUACGGGAAUAAAGCCGCCUACGGGUAGGCGUUUGCAUGUACCGUAUGAAUAAGCAUCGGCUAACUCCGUGCCAGCAGCCGCGGUAAUACGGAGGAUGCGAGCGUUAUCCGGAUUUAUUGGGUUUAAAGGGAGCGUAGAUGGGAUGUUAAGUCAGCUGUGAAAGUUUGCGGCUCAACCGUAAAAUUGCAGUUGAAACUGGUAUCCUUGAGUGCAGUUGGGGUGGAUGGAAUUCGUGGUGUAGCGGUGAAAUGCUUAGA